rnacentral:rRNA from 1 species
UGCGGAAGGAUCAUUACCGAGUGAGGGCCCUUUGGGUCCAACCUCCCACCCGUGUUUAUUUUACCUUGUUGCUUCGGCGGGCCCGCCUUUACUGGCCGCCGGGGGGCUCACGCCCCCGGGCCCGCGCCCGCCGAAGACACCCCCGAACUCUGUCUGAAGAUUGAAGUCUGAGUGAAAAUAUAAAUUAUUUAAAACUUUCAACAACGGAUCUCUUGGUUCCGGCAUCGAUGAAGAACGCAGCGAAAUGCGAUACGUAAUGUGAAUUGCAAAUUCAGUGAAUCAUCGAGUCUUUGAACGCACAUUGCGCCCCCUGGUAUUCCGGGGGGCAUGCCUGUCCGAGCGUCAUUGCUGCCCUCAAGCCCGGCUUGUGUGUUGGGCCCCGUCCUCCGAUUCCGGGGGACGGGCCCGAAAGGCAGCGGCGGCACCGCGUCCGGUCCUCGAGCGUAUGGGGCUUUGUCACCCGCUCUGUAGGCCCGGCCGGCGCUUGCCGAUCAACCCAAAUUUUUAUCCAGGUUGACCUCGGAUCAGGUAGGGAUACCCGCUGAACUUAAGCAUAUCAU